UACAGAGGGUGCAAGCGUUAAUCGGACUUACUGGGCGUAAAGGGCGCGUAGGCGGAUGCAUAAGUCAGAUGUGAAAGGCCAUGGCUUAACCAUGGAAUGUCAUUUGAAACUGUGUAUCUAGAGUCGAAGAGAGGGAAGCGGAAUUUCCGGUGUAGCGGUGAAAUGCGUAGAUAUCGGAAGGAACACCCGUAGCGAAGGCGGCUUCCUGGAUUCAGACUGACGCUGAGGCGCGAAAGCGUGGGUAGCGAACAGG
rnacentral:rRNA from 1 species